AGUGAACGCUGGCGGUAGGCCUAACACAUGCAAGUCGAACGGCAGCACAGUAAGAGCUUGCUCUUACGGGUGGCGAGUGGCGGACGGGUGAGGAAUACAUCGGAAUCUACUUUUUCGUGGGGGAUAACGUAGGGAAACUUACGCUAAUACCGCAUACGACCUACGGGGGAAAGCAGGGGAUCUUCGGACCUUGCGCGAUUGAAUGAGCCGAUGUCGGAUUAGCUAGUUGGCGGGGUAAAGGCCCACCAAGGCGACGAUCCGUAGCUGGUCUGAGAGGAUGAUCAGCCACACUGGAACUGAGACACGGUCCAGACUCCUACGGGAGGCAGCAGUGGGGAAUAUUGGACAAUGGGCGCAAGCCUGAUCCAGCCAUACCGCGUGGGUGAAGAAGGCCUUCGGGUUGUAAAGCCCUUUUGUUGGGAAAGAAAAGCAGCAGGUUAAUACCCCGCUGUUCUGACGGUACCCACAGAAUAAGCACCGGCUAACUUCGUG
rnacentral:rRNA from 1 species